GAUGAAGAACGUAGCGAAAUGCGGUAAGUAGUGUGAAUUGCAGAAUUCAGUGAAUCAUCGAAUCUUUGAACGCACAUUGCGCCCUUUGGUAUUCCUUAGGGCAUGCCUGUUCGAGCGUCAUUUAAACCUUCAAGCUAAGCUUGGUGUUGGGUGACUGUCCGCUUCACGGCGGACUCGCCUCAAAAUUAUUGGCGGCCGGUACAUUGGCUUCGAGCGCAGCAGAAACGCGAACUCGGGCCCGUAGUAUUGGCUCCCAGAAGCUAUCUUCACAAUUUUGACCUCGGAUCAGGUAGGGAUACCCGCUGAACUUAAGCAUAUCAAUAAGCGGAGGA
rnacentral:misc_RNA from 1 species